rnacentral:rRNA from 1 species
GCGGCAGGCCUAAUACAUGCAAGUCGGACGGGAUUCAGGGAGUAGCUUGCUACAAACUGAUGAGAGUGGCGCACGGGUGCGUAACGCGUGAGCAACCUACCCAUAUCAGGGGGAUAGCCUCUCGAAAGAGAGAUUAACACCGCAUAACAUUGAUGAACGGCAUCGUUUUUCAAUCAAAUAUUUAUAGGAUAUGGAUGGGCUCGCGUGACAUUAGCUAGUUGGAGAGGUAACGGCUCACCAAGGCUACGAUGUCUAGGGGCUCUGAGAGGAGAAUCCCCCACACUGGUACUGAGACACGGACCAGACUCCUACGGGAGGCAGCAGUAAGGAAUAUUGGUCAAUGGAGGCAACUCUGAACCAGCCAUGCCGCGUGCAGGAUGACUGCCCUAUGGGUUGUAAACUGCUUUUGUCAGGGAAUAAACCUACUUACGUGUAAGUAGCUGAAUGUACCUGAAGAAUAAGGAUCGGCUAACUCCGUGCCAGCAGCCGCGGUAAUACGGAGGAUCCAAGCGUUAUCCGGAUUUAUUGGGUUUAAAGGGUG